GAUAGAGAGGGAGGGUGAAGGCAAAGAGAGCUGAAUGAACAGGAUGCUUUCUAUGCAAAAAAAAACCCCUAUCAAAAAUGCAAAAAUCGCUUUUGGAGAUAGAGACAAACCCGUUUUCACAUGACUCCACUUGGAGUUUUUAAAUCCAGCAAUUUCUGCACUGCUUCCUACCAACACUGUGCUAAACUCAACCUUGGUUUUGUGUCCUGCAGCCCGAGCCCUGUCCUGCAGCAGAUCCUGGGAUGCCCAUGACACCAGGCUGGACAUGGGUUCACCCAACCUGCUGCUCAUUUUCUGGCUGACAAAUUGUCUCUGGCCCUGGUGGGAGUUCAUGGGAACAUCCUGCUCAGAUUGGCUCUUAAUUACAUGAAUCAGGAGUGGGGGUUUUAUGGAAAAUCUCACCCUCCAAAAACCACGAGGAGCUGCCAGCACUGAGGGACCCUCAGCAGAAGCCCCUCACCACAGCUGAUCCCUCCUCAUCCUCUUCCUCCUCCUCCUCCUCCUCUCCCUGCUCUGCUGGCCUGGAGCAUGAUGUGGAUCCUGAUUUGCACCAGUGCCUGUCCAGGCUGACCAGCACCAGACCUCAGCGUGGGGACACAGCAGCAGCACUGCAGGCACACACAGGGGGCAGAGGACACCAGGACAUGCCCGCCCUGCCCACUGCACUGUGGGCACUCACUGGUGAAGCGCAUAAGGCUGGAAGAAUGGGAAAAAUUAAAAAGAAAAAAAAAAAGAAGAAAAGAAAGAAAAAGAGUCUCCAACCCCAGGAAAUCUGUGUUAAUUGCUUAUGAAUGUCUCUGUCUAAAAAAUUAUCGAAUUGAUGUUGUCGUGCUUUUUUUUGACAGCCUGUCUGUUACAUUUUUUUAAAAUAUUCAUGCACCGAAAUCUAAUUACUAGGCAAAUUUAAUGAUAAUGAAAUGAAGGCACUUUAGCAGAAAGCACAGGGCCUUGUUAAUGUUUUCUCAGCCUCUGUCUUGUUCAUAUUUUUAAAAUUAUUUUUUUUACAACUGCCUUUCUUGCAUAUGAGAAAAAAAAAAAAAAGAUUGCUGAAAAUAAAACUCAGAUUGCCGAUAA